UUAACUAUUUGCUUUUCACUUCAGGCUGCAAAGGGUUGCUGAGGGUUUGGAUUUCGGCCGGAGGGGCCCCCUUUUGGGGGGACCCGCCUGACGCCGACGAAGGGGCGGGAAGCGGAGGGUGGGGGUGAGCGCCGGAGCGUUCGGUGACCCAGUAAUGAUCCUUCCGCAGGUUCACCUACGGAAA
rnacentral:misc_RNA from 1 species